rnacentral:rRNA from 1 species
AGGACGAACGCUGGCGGCGUGCUUAACACAUGCAAGUCGAACGGCGCUCAACCAGUGGCAACACUGGGGAAAGUGCAGUGGCGAACGGGUGAGUAACACGUGAGCAACCUGCCUCGAAGACUGGGAUAACAGCGGGAAACCGCUGCUAAUACCGGAUAUCCCCAUCGGGCCGCAUGACCUGAUGAGGAAAUGAAUUUCGCUUCGAGAGGGGCUCGCGGGCUAUCAGCUUGUUGGUGGGGUAACGGCCCACCAAGGCUACGACGGCUAGCUGGUCUGAGAGGACGACCAGCCACACUGGGACUGAGACACGGCCCAGACUCCUACGGGAGGCAGCAGUUGGGAAUUUUGCGCAAUGGACGAAAGUCUGACGCAGCAACGCCGCGUGAGGGAUGACGGCCUUCGGGUUGUAAACCUCUUUAUCAGGGACGAUAAUGACGGUACCUGAUGAAUAAGUCACGGCUAACUACGUGCCAGCAGCCGCGGUAAUCGUG